AACAAUUCUUGAUGUGGACCCUCCUCCACAGUGGAAUGAUUGGAUAAAACUCAGCACUUAGAACAGCACUGUCACAAAGAAGUUCUCAACAGAGCCUGGCUAUUAUGACGGGGACAGUUAGUGCUCGGAGCUUGUUUAUUCUUUCCAUUGCACUCACUGGCCUCCUUUGCAGUUAGUUUAAGGCCAGGUGCCUAAUUAUACUUCAUGAACUAGAGCAGAAGGGGUGAGGCAGUAAAGAACCAGUGCCUUGAGACCUCUCUUUCCCUGUUGAAGAGGACUGGGAGGCGUGAGUUCAAGUCGGCAGAGCUCCAUGGUGGGGUGCCACCCCAUCCUCAUCAGAGUGCCGCGAGGGUGACAAAUUUAUGCUACAUCGCUGACAUUUCCAGGUUAAUUCAUUGCCUCAAGAUGUCUUCACUAGGGAAUCUUCCCAGCCCUGGGAUAGAACCCAAAUCUCCUGUGCCGCCUACACUGGCAAGAGUAUUAUUUUACCCCUGAGCCACCUGGGAAGCCUUUGGUGCAUGGUUAAUUCAGAUGAGUG
rnacentral:lncRNA from 1 species